rnacentral:lncRNA from 1 species
GGCGAAGGGUCAGGGCUGCGUGGCGGGCGCGACCAGGCGGGCGGUGUGGGACGGAACGGGGGCCGCCCCCAAGGGCAAGAGCCGGGCUCCAGGGGUUGCCCUGGGGGCGCGGGCCCGGUGGUGAAGACGGAAGGACGUCGGGGUCAGCAACGCCAGCAUCACCCAGGCGGCCGGCGCGGGAACCUUCAUCCUCGCCGCUGGGUGCGAGUUCGGGCCUGGGAUGCGCCCCUGCGGGGCCCUGAGGCGAUCCGGCCGUGCCCGCGUCGGGGCGCCGUUCUGACAGACCCUGAAGGGACGCGCGGUUUUGGGGGAGAAAUCCGCCGCUGGGAAACGGGGGACCCGCCGCCGCCUCCGCCUCGCUCCUACUUUUACACGAAGCUGUCGCGCUUCCCGUUUCCGAAACGCAAGGAAGAGUGGGCCUCGGCGAGCCCGACGCUCGGCCGGAACCGGAAACUCGGCAGGGACCGGAAGCUCGGCCGGAAGCGUGCGGCUGGCGACUGGUCUCCUCAGCGAGCAGCCGGCGGCCUUGGCUCGGCUCGUCGUCCGCCGGAGGCCCAAGCGCGGUGCAGGCGAGCCCCUUAAGUCCUCCUGCUCUGGGAAAGCUGAGGGUCGAGGACAUGGGCUCUUUUAUUUUAUUUAUUUAUUUAUGUUUUUUAAAUUUAAGAUUUUAUGUGUUGAUUUCCUGAGAGACGCAGAGAGAGGCCGAGACGCAGGCCCUACGCCGGGAGCCCGCCGCGGGCCUCGAUGCCGGGACCCGGGGUCACGCGCUGGGCUGCAGGCAACGCUCUGCCAUGGAGCCCCCGGGGGCGCGGUAGAAACAAGCUUCUGUCCGUGUGGGUCAAUGUGGAUGAGCCACCCAGGGAGGAGGGAUGCGGGGUUUGCGGGGAGAACCCGUCUCGGGGUCGGGUGCAGAGGCUUAGGUCGGCGGAUGGCGAGAGGGGAGCCGGGGCGGCGGGGUUGCGGGCAGCCGCAGGGCCGCACAGGACAGGUGAGGGGCCUUCAGGGCCGCGGCAGACACGCCGACGGACACCGCGAUGGACACCACCAUGGACACGGCGACGGACACCACGAAGGCCAUGGCGGCCACGGCGGGCGCGGGUCAGCCGGGCUUCCCACUGUGGGGCCGGGCCGGCAGGUGCUGCUGCUGAUGGCGUCGGGAGGAAGGCCUCGUAGUGGGAAGGACGAAUUGUAG